UGGGGAAUAUUGGACAAUGGGGGCAACCCUGAUCCAGCAAUGCCGCGUGUGUGAAGAAGGCCUGCGGGUUGUAAAGCACUUUCAGUAAGGAGGAAGGCUCUGUAGUUAAUACCUGCAGAGAUUGACGUUACUUACAGAAGAAGCACCGGCUAACUCUGUGCCAGCAGCCGCGGUAAUACAGAGGGUGCGAGCGUUAAUCGGAAUUACUGGGCGUAAAGGGUGCGUAGGUGGUUAAAUUAGUUAGGUGUGAAAGCCCUGGGCUCAACCUGGGAAUGUCGCUUAAUACUGUUUAACUAGAGUACUGUAGAGGGAAGUGGAAUUUCCGGUGUAGCGGUGAAAUGCGUAGAUAUCGGAAGGAACACCAGUGGCGAAGGCGGCUUCCUGGACAGAUACUGACACUGAGGCACGAAAGCGUGGGUAGCGAACAGG
rnacentral:rRNA from 1 species